UAUGUGAUCGUCUCUCGCAUAUCAAUAAGCGGAGGAAAAGAAACUAACAAGGAUCCCCUUAGUAACGGCGAGUGAAGCGGGAAGAGCUCAAAUUUGAAAUCUUCAAGGUUUUACCUUGACGAAUUGUAGUUUAAAGAAGUGUUUUCUGUUGAAGUUUUGGUAAAAGUUCUUUGGAAUAGGACAUCAUAGAGGGUGAGAAUCCCGUAUUUGACCAUUAUUUUCAGCUGUGUGAUACACUUUCAAAGAGUCGGAUUGUUUGGGAAUGCAGUCCAAAAUGGGUGGUAAAUUUCAUCUAAAGCUAAAUAUUGGCGAGAGACCGAUAGCGAACAAGUACCGUGAGGGAAAGAUGAAAAGAACUUUGAAAAGAGAGUUAAACAGUACGUGAAAUUGUCAAAAGGGAAGCGUUUGACACCAGUGUUGUUUUCUCGAAAAUCAAUUAAAAAGAGUUAGAUUUUGUUGUGUAUUGACCUUAACAGCUUGCAUUUCAAUUUUCUUGCUUUUUUUAAUGCACUUUUCGUUUAACAAGUCAACAUCAGGUUUCUUUUGUUGUAAAAAGGUCAUUGGAAGGUGGCUUUCUUUUCGGAGAAAGUGUUUAUAGCCUUUGACUCCUGCAAUCGGAGAGACUGAGGUCUGCAGCGUAGAUCCUUCGGGGUUAGAUACAUUUGUGCUAAGUUAUAGCUUUUUAUAGACAACUUGUUGACUAUGAUUAGUCUUGUAGCUUACUCGCUUGCGCUAUUUUACCUACGCUUAGGAUGUUGAAGAUGUAGCACAUCAU
rnacentral:rRNA from 1 species